UACCUGGAUCUACUAAGAUCCACUGAUCUCUGUCCACCAAAAAAUCU
rfam:Picea glauca, whole genome shotgun sequence.